UUCGGCAUAAUUAUGAGGUUAGUUGGGUAAAAAGAGUUUAUCUAAAUGAUACGAAUUCGUGUUUAAGGAAAAAUUUAAGAUGACAUGUAUGAACAAUAGGGGUAUAUUUAAUCAUGACUACAUUUAGUCAGAAAGAUGAUGAGCCUUAUGAAUGCUAUGCUUUAGUUAUAAAUGAUUUCAUUACUUAAGACUUACUAAGCAUCGAAAUGCUUACUCUUUUUGCCUUCAUUCCCUGUUUUAU
rnacentral:lncRNA from 1 species